CAUUCAGAACUUGUCACCCUGAACCAGCCCGAUCCCGACUGAUCUCGGAAGCUAAGCGGGGUCGGGCCUGGCUAGUACUUGGAUGGGAGUACUUGGAUGGGAGACCACCUAGGAAGACCAGGUGCUGUAAGUGU
rnacentral:rRNA from 1 species